rnacentral:rRNA from 1 species
UACGGGGGGGGCAAGCGUUGUUCGGAAUUACUGGGCGUAAAGGGCGCGUAGGCGGCUCGCUAAGUCGGAUGUGAAAACUCUGGGCUCAACCCAGAGCCUGCAUUCGAAACUGACGAGCUCGAGUACUGGAGGGGAGAGCGGAAUUCCUGGUGUAGCGGUGAAAUGCGUAGAUAUCAGGAGGAACACCGGUGGCGAAGGCGGCUUUCUGGACAGUAACUGACGCUGAUGCGCGAAAGCUAGGGGAGCAAACAGG